GACGAACGCUGGCGGCGUGCUUAACACAUGCAAGUCGAACGGAAAGGCUCCAGCUUGCUGGAGUACUCGAGUGGCGAACGGGUGAGUAACACGUGGGUAAUCUGCCCUGCACUCUGGGAUAAGCCUGGGAAACUGGGUCUAAUACUGGAUAUGACCUUUCUCCUUAUGGGGUUUGGUGGAAAGUUUUUCGGUGUAGGAUGAGCCCGCGGCCUAUCAGCUUGUUGGUGGGGUGAUGGCCUACCAAGGCGACGACGGGUAGCCGGCCUGAGAGGGUGAUCGGCCACAUUGGGACUGAGAUACGGCCCAGACUCCUACGGGAGGCAGCAGUGGGGAAUAUUGCACAGUGGGCGGAAGCCUGAUGCAGCGACGCCGCGUGAGGGAUGACGGCCUUCGGGUUGUAAACCUCUUUCAGCAGGGACGAAGCGUAAGUGACGGUACCUGCAGAAGAAGCACCGGCUAACUACGUG
rnacentral:rRNA from 1 species